CCCUGGCCUUGAAGAGUCUGCCUGGUCUAGAAUCCUCUCUGCUUCUUCGGCCGGGUCUUGUGCCCCUUUUGCCCUCACUGUCUGUGCUUCAGAUUCACUGGGUUGACCUCGGUCCGCACGUAAUGAAUUUGAUGACUUCAGUUGUAUGAGAACUAAAAAUAAACCGUGAAGUGAAAGAACUGAAUCUAAACGAUUUCCGUCAGCAUAGUUUGGAGAAGAAUCUUGCUCCAGAAGAAUGUUUUCACCCUUGGAUGUUUUUCUAGCAAAAUCUGAGAGCAGAAUGAAGAACUUGGACUGAUUAUUGAUGUAACACACACUCGCCACUAAUACAAACCAGAGGCCUACCUCGGAGAUCUUGCGGGUUCUGUUCCAGGUCACUGAAUAAAGUGAAUAUCGCAAUAUAAACAUUCCCUUUUAUGCCCCCCCUCCCCUGGCUCACCCCCUCCAGGUGCCCUACAAGCCUCCCAAGAUGCGACUCUGGACCCUUGGGCACAUACGUCCUGCCCUCGUGGAGCAGCGACCCAGUGCUCACGUGCUCCCACCGCUCUCCUGCCCUGUGAUCGACGCUUCCAGUGGAUUUUUCUUGUGUGCUUUUGGAUGGAUGGCGAUGUUUAGAGAGGGCAGAAACAGACCAGGUGGAUUGCGGGAGGCCCUGGCAGGCGCCUCAAGUUAAUGUUUAUGAAGAGAUGUUUUUCCAAAGAAAAAUAUUACAG
rnacentral:lncRNA from 1 species